rnacentral:lncRNA from 1 species
UUGUACAUUUUCUGUUAUAAUUUUCAUACAAUCAGUGAAACAUUUAAACAGGCUAAACUAAAUUUUUAUUGCUGAAAGUGUCAAACAAUGACAAGUGUUUUAUUUACCACUCAUGUGUUUUUGUGAGAGAAAAAAAAUCUUGUGCAAUAUUUGGAAUUAAAGGGAAAGAAGAUCCUUUUUGCCUCGCACUGGCGCAUGUCAAUGUUAAUAUAUACUUACCAAAUAUAUUUUCUUUAUC